rnacentral:rRNA from 1 species
UCCGUAGGCGGUUUGUCGCAUCUCCUGUUAAAUCUCAAGGCUUAACCUUGAGGCCGCGGGAGAUAUGGGCAAACUAGAGGUUGGUAGAGGCAAGCGGAAUUGCUGGUGUAGGGGUUAAAUCCGUUAAUAUCAGCAGGAACACCAAAUGCGAAGGCAGCUUGCUGGAACAAACCUGACGCUAAGGGACGAAAGCGUGGGGAGCGAAGA